rnacentral:rRNA from 1 species
UACAGAGGGUGCAAGCGUUUAAUCGGAAUUACUGGGCGUAAAGCGCGCGUAGGUGGUUUGUUAAGUUGGAUGUGAAAUCCCCCGGGCUCAACCUGGGAACUGCAUUCAAAACUGACAAGCUAGAGUAUGGUAGAGGGUGGUGGAAUUUCCUGUGUAGCGGUGAAAUGCGUAGAUAUAGGAAGGAACACCAGUGGCGAAGGCGACCACCUGGACUGAUACUGACACUGAGGUGCGAAAGCGUGGGGAGCAACAGGAU